rnacentral:tRNA from 1 species
GGUUUCAUGGUGUAAUGGUUAGCACUCUGGACUCUGAAUCCUGUGAUAUGAGUUAAAAUCUCAGUGCAACCU